ACCAAGGAAAGGAGUUUAAUAUGACGGAUUUUUUUCCAAAAGGGGAGUGCUCUACCAGCAAAGUUGUGUGUACACACUACAACAAAACUCGGUAGUAGAAAGAAAACACUUGCACUGGUUGAACGUAGCAAGGACCUUGAUUUUCAAGCAAGGCUACCUUUAAAAUUUUGAGGAAAGUGCUUCCUAACUGCUGCUUAUCUCAUAAAUAGGACACCCUCACCAAAUUUAAAAAAUUAAAAGUCCUUACCAGCUUCUCUUUGGUAAAACACCUAGCUAUUCUCACUUAAGAACAUUAAGAUGUUUAUGCUAUACAUCAAAACUUGAUCCCCAGAAAAAUAAGUUUAAUCCUAGAGCUCGAAAAAUGUGUGUUCAUCGGAUAUUCAAAUGGAAUAAAAGGUUACGAAGUCUUUGACAUGAAAACAAGAGAAAGCAUAACUAGUGGAGAUGUGAUCCUUUAUGAAGACACAUUUCAUUUUUAGUAAAAUCACACCUUAUCUUCUUUACUACUUACACCAAAAAUCACUACUCUAGAUGAUGUCCCAGUUAUACCAAAUCCCAUCUCAGAGAGUUUUAAUCAAUCUUCACAAACAAGUGAUAAUUUUGGUUUUUUAUAGGAAACAACACUUGAAAUUGAUAACCAUAAUCAUAAGGAAUCUCUUACUUCAUCAGAAGCUGUUGAAUAAUCUUUUUUCCCACUUCUUGAACAACCUUCUCCCCAAAACCCGUAAAUCCACUAGAAUCAGAAAUAGACCUGAAUACAAAGAUUUUCAUUGCAGGAUGGCAACUUCCUUGGCAACUUCAGGCACUCUUCCUUCUGAUGUAACAACUCUUAGAGGUAACAAUUAUUCUCUUGCUUCGAUUCUUAGUUACUCUAAAUUCUCACCCACAGACUUGAAAUAUACUCUAUCCAUCACCCUUGAGCCAGAGCCUCGCACCUUUGAAGAAGCCCAAAAAUUCUUACAUUGGAGAAGUGCCAUGAGUGCUAAAAUUCAAGCUCUUGAAGCCAAUGAGACAUGGGAACUGACCAACUUGCCUCUAGGGAAGAAAACAGUUAGGUUGCAAAUGGGUCUACAAAACCAAAUAUAAGGCAGAUGGCAGCACUGAACCACACAAGGCUGGAUUGGUGGUGAAAGGCUACAUUCAAUGAGAAAGAGAAGAUUAUUUUGAAACCUUCUCCCCUAUUGCCAAGAUGCCAACUGUGAGAUGCCUUCUGUCUAUUGCUGCAUGUAAAAAGUGGUCUUUUCAUCUUCUGGAUGUUAAUAAUGCUUUCCUUUAUGGAGAAUUGGAUAAGGAAGUAAAUAUGACUCUGCCUCCUGGUUAUGGUAGAGAGUGGGAACAACGAGUAUGUAGGCUUAAGAGGUCUCUUUAUGGCUUGAAGCAAGCUUCUUGUCAAUGGAAUCAAAAUCUCACUUCUGUUAUUACCAAGAUUGGUUUUAUCCAAUCUAAAGCAGAUUAUUCACUCUUUACUAAGAAAACUGAUUCCUCUUUUACUGUAAUGCUUGUAAACAUUGAUGAUAUGGUGAUUGGAGGAGAUAAUGAAGAGGAAAUGCAGAAACUGAAGCAAUAUUUGGCAGGCCAUUUUAAGCUAAAGGAUCUUGAAAAGUUGAAAUAUUUUCUAGGCAUAGAAAUUGCCCUAUCCAAGGAAGAGAUUUUCAUUUGUCAAAGGAUAUAUACACUGAAAAUUUUACAAGACUGUGGACUUCUUGGUGCUAAAUCUGUCCAAUUUUCCAUGGAACAUAAUUUGAAACUUAAUUGGAAAGAAGAGCAAGCCUUGCUUGAUCCUAGAUAGCAUAGAAGACUAAUAGAAAGGCUGCUUUAUCUAACAAUAACUAGGCCCUGAUAUAGCAUACUCGGUACAAGUGCUAAGUCAAUAUCUUAGUAAGCCGAAAGAUGUGCAUUGGAAGGCAGGCAUUAAGGUAGUAAGAUAUUUGAAGAUAUCUCUAUCACAAGGGUUGAUUUAUCCAGUAAAAGGUAAGCUAUAGCUGACUGGCUUUUGUGAUGCAGAUUGGGGCAUUUGUCCAGAAACUAGAAGGUCCAUUACCGGGUUUUGCAUUUUCUUUAGAGAUGGUCUGAUAUCAUCGAGGUCAAAGAAACAAAGGAUUGUGUCUAGGUCCUCUGUUGAGGAGGAAUAUCGAUCAAUGGCUGCAACAACUUGCAAGUUGGUAAGGUUUAAAAGUUAAUUGAAUGAUUUUGGCAUAUCUAUUGAGAAACCAAUACAAUUAUUCUGUGAUAAUCAAGCAGCUGUUCAUAUUGCUUCAAAUUCAGGUUAUUAUGAGAGAACAAAACACAUAGAGAUUGAUUGUCACAUUGUGAGGGAGAAAAUAAAGGUCGGUUCGAUAAAGACAUUUCACAUAUGAACAAAUUUACAAGCUGCAGAUAUGAUGACGAAGGCAAUUGGUUCAAAGAAGUUCCAAUAUCUCUCAGGCAAGAUGGGGAUUUAUUCAAUUGCAUCUCCAUCUUGAGGGGAAGUAAUGAGAUGAAUAUUUGAAUUAAAUAGAGCAGAAACCAUAGAUCAUUGGAACAAGAGAAGCUACUUGCAAGUUUUGAAAUUUUCUGUUGACACCUUACAAAGAAAAACACAGGUCUGUUAUUGAAGAAGUAGAGUGGCUAUUUUUACCAAAAAUAGAAUCUACUUGAGUGAAAGAAAGUAGCUGUGUUGUUGGUCCUAUACAAGGACAGAUCCAGAAUUAGAUUCAAAAUUGGACUACAAAAUCUCAAAUCGGACUACUAUGCGGAAAAAAAAUUUACACAUAAAAAAUUGGUUUUUUACCAAAAAAAUAAAAAAUACCUUAAAAAUAAUGUUCUUGGGCCUGAGUUGGGGGGGGGGCUACAGCCCAGCCCAGCCCCCCAAAAAUCCGUCUCUGGUCCUAUAGCUGUUAUGUUUAGGCUGUAUUCAUAAAUAAUUCCUAAUUUUCAGGAUCUGAUUUUGUGUAUACGUAGAGCUCUUUCCUUGUAUAUUUUUCAAGUAAAACAAAAAUGAAAGCAAUUCAAUUGACUGGUUCACUGUGUUGGUAACCAAUCUCCUCUCCUUUCUUUUGUUUAAUGACAUUUAUUCUCCAUGUCAGUAGUGAGGUUGAAUGCAUCCAUUAUAUUACAUUGUCACCUGUC
rnacentral:lncRNA from 1 species